AUCCAACUGAUGAGUCUCUAAUAAGACGAAACACAUGUCCUGGAU
rfam:Schistosoma mattheei strain Denwood, Zambia genome assembly, scaffold: SMTD_scaffold0008211